rnacentral:rRNA from 1 species
GUAACACGUGGGUGAUCUGCCCUGUACUUUGGGAUAAGCCUGGGAAACUGGGUCUAAUACCGAAUAUGAYCNUANNNCGCAUGNUNUGUGGUGGAAAGCUCCGGCGGUAUGGGAUGGGCCCGCGGCCUAUCAGCUUGUUGGUGGGGUAAUGGCCUACCAAGGCGACGACGGGUAGCCGGCCUGAGAGGGCGACCGGCCACACUGGGACUGAGACACGGCCCAGACUCCUACGGGAGGCAGCAGUGGGGAAUAUUGCACAAUGGGCGCAAGCCUGAUGCAGCGACGCCGCGUGAGGGAUGACGGCCUUCGGGUUGUAAACCUCUUUCACCAGGGACGAAGCGUGAGUGACGGUACCUGGAGAAGAAGCACCGGCCAACUACGUGCCAGCAGCCGCGGUAAUACGUAGGGUGCGAGCGUUGUCCGGAAUUACUGGGCGUAAAGAGUUCGUAGGCGGUUUGUCGCGUCGUUCGUGAAAACUUGGGGCUUAACUCUAAGCGUGCGGGCGAUACGGGCAGACUUGAGUACUACAGGGGAGACUGGAAUUCCUGGUGUAGCGGUGAAAUG